rnacentral:rRNA from 1 species
GUCGAACGAUUUACUUCGGUAAAGAGCGGCGGACGGGUGAGUAACGCCUGUAUAACCUGCCCUGUACACACGGAUAACAUACCGAAAGGCAUGCUAAUACGAGAUAAAAUAUUUUUAUCGCAUGGUAGAAAUAUCAAAGCUUUUGCGGUACAGGAUGGACCCGCGUCUGAUUAGCUAGUUGGUAAGGUAACGGCUUACCAAGGCGACGAUCAGUAGCCGACCUGAGAGGGUGAUCGGCCACAUUGGAACUGAGACACGGUCCAAACUCCUACGGGAGGCAGCAGUGGGGAAUAUUGCACAAUGGGCGAAAGCCUGAUGCAGCAACGCCGCGUGAGCGAUGAAGGCCUUCGGGUCGUAAAGCUCUGUCCUCAAGGAAGAUAAUGACGGUACUUGAGGAGGAAGCCCCGGCUAACUACGUGCCAGCAGCCGCGGUAAUACGUAGGGGGCUAGCGUUAUCCGGAAUUACUGGGCGUAAAGGGUGCGUAGGUGGUUUCUUAAGUCAGAGGUGAAAGGCUACGGCUCAACCGUAGUAAGCCUUUGAAACUGGGGAACUUGAGUGCAGAAGAGGAGAGUGGAAUUCCUAGUGUAGCGGUGAAAUGCGUAGAUAUUAGGAGGAACACCAGUUGCGAAGGCGGCUCUCUGGACUGUAACUGACACUGAGGCACGAAAGCGUGGGGAGCAAACAGGAUUAGAUACCCUGGUAGUCCACGCCGUANACGAUGAGUACUAGCUGUCGGAGGUUANCCCCUUCGGUGGCGCAGCUAACGCAUUAAGUAC